CCCUAUGGGGUGCCCUUUCCCGCGGCGUGGACGAUGCCGUUCUGUUGAGCGACCGGGCGUUCGCCGGUUCCGACACCUGGGCCACCUCCACCACCCUCGCAGCCGCCAUCCGAAAAAUGGGGGACGUAGACCUUGUCCUCUGCGGCAAGCAGGCAGUCGAUGGAGAUACGGCUCAAGUGGGCCCUGAAAUGGCAACUUUCCUUGACAUGCCGUAUGCGACCUUUGUCAAAAAGAUCGAAUUGUUCGACGGCAGUGCAUUAAAAAUUUCCCGUCAAACGGACGAAGGCGUCGAAAUCUGGAAAUUGCCCACCCCCUGCCUUCUCACGGUGAUCAAGGAAGUGGGGGAGCCCCGACUGCCGUCCCUCAGGCAUAAAAUGCGCGCCAAAAAGGCGACCAUCCCGAUGUGGAGAGC
rnacentral:rRNA from 1 species